rnacentral:misc_RNA from 1 species
GACUUGCAAAUUGAAAGGUUGAUGUGCACACUACUCUGGAGCAAGAAGAUUCACUUUGCACAUCAAGAUACAUUUUGUGAAAAGUAAGCUUUUUAUUGAGUAGAGUUUGCCUACAAGCCACAACCUGAAUGAAGUUUUUCUGUAAUCCUUAGUCUUUUUGGUUUAUAUGAAUGUUAGAAUGCUCGCAAGCACCUUACCUAGAGGUUCUAGAAUCUUGCUACUUAUCAAACUAAUAAAGUUCCUUCACAUAAUUACAUAAAUUUGGAACAUUUGGAAAAGGUUACAGAGGUAGCAUCUUUUCCGACAUUCUUCUGCAAGACCAUACAGUACUAGAGUCGUUACUUCAUAUAUAUCAGACAAAUACGCAACUCAACU